GCUCAACCGAGGAAGUGCUUCGAAAACUGGUAAACUUGAGUGCAGAAGAGGAAAGUGGAACUCCAUGUGUAGCGGUGGAAUGCGUAGAUAUAUGGAAGAACACCAGUGGCGAAGGCGGCUUUCUGGUCUGUAACUGACGCUGAGAUUCGAAAGCAUGGGUAGCAAAUAGGAUUAGAUACCCUGGUAGUCCAUGCCGUAAACGAUGAGUGCUAAGUGUUGGAGGGUUUCCGCCCUUCAGUGCUGCAGCUAACGCAUUAAGCACUCCGCCUGGGGAGUACGAUCGCAAGAUUGAAACUCAAAGGAAUUGACGGGGGCCCGCACAAGCGGUGGAGCAUGUGGUUUAAUUCGAAGCAACGCGAAGAACCUUACCAGGUCUUGACAUACCAUGGGGAGCUUAGAGAUAAGUCUUUCCCUUCGGGGACAUGGAUACAGGUGGUGCAUGGUUGCCGUCAGCUCGUGUCGUGAGAUGUUGGGUUAAGUCCCGCAACGAGCGCAACCCUUAUUAUCAGUUGCCAGCAUUCAGUUGGGCACUCUGGUGAGACUGCCGGUGAUAAACCGGAGGAAGGUGGGGACGACGUCAAAUCAUCAUGCCCCCUAUGACCUGGGCUACACACGUGCUACAAUGGUCGGUACAACG
rnacentral:rRNA from 1 species